rnacentral:lncRNA from 10 species
AGAUGCUUUUAGCCUGAAAAGGAGAAUAGAAAUGCAUUUUCUCUAAACAUACAAGAGCACUCAUUUCCAGAGAGAUCCUGGACUGGAGGGACAGGAGCGUGACCCAGGCUGUUCAUCAUGAAUGGCUGGCUGGGGCUUCCAGGGAGCUCAAGAUCAAAUCCGGGGGCAAAGAGACAGAAGAACUAAAACUCAGAGUGACCACCAAUGCAGCUAUGAAACAGGUGGCAACAGCCAAGUGGAAGAAGCCAAGUGAAGGGCUAUGGGGACCUAGAAGAUGGAGUCGUCACACAGUGGAAGAAUUGCAGAUCUCUGAGUCACCAUUUGGACAAGAACCUACUAGAACAGGUGCCUGAACAAGAACACUGGACUUUGUGUGAGUGAGAAACAAACUUUUAUUGUGUUAAGCCACCGAGAUUUUGGGUUGGUUUUUAUAGUAGCUGGUGUUGCUUACACUGACUAAUACAUCUUGAAAGUAAAUGAUGCAAAACAAUUCUACUUAUUCACAGGGGGUGGUAUUUAUAAGGGAAAAGAAUAACAGGGUGGUGUCAGUGAUGGGUCCUGAUAAGUAAGCAACAACAAGGAAGGGGCCCCAGGUAGGGAAGAACAAUUGUUCUGAGAGACUGUUAAUCACAAACAACCUGCUAGCCCCACAUCCUGUUCUCAAAUACUUUGCUCAGCAUGUAGCCCCAGCAGCAUGACUUUGUCUGCAUGUAGACCCUCCAGCAUGACCCUAUAAAAUUUCCCUCCAGCCACUGCCUCUUGGCAGACAGUCCCUUCUCUGCUGUGCUGCCCACUGCUUUCUUACAACGUUAUCUUUGUACUUUCUCUAAUAAAUCUGCCUUUCUUUACCCACAA